AGCACUGGAGUGGAAGAUAAAUUAGAGCUUAUGGACUCAUGAACAGGAGGUUAAGCUGAAGGCAGAAAUAGAGUAAGGGCAAAGUUGGGAGGGAGUAAGGGGAUACGCUGUAAAUCAGGAAAGAACAGUGAAAAAGGAAGGACAACAAAGUUGAAGAAAAACAAGUAUUCUGGAGAUGUAAAGCACAGGCAAGGAAGGAAAACAAGACAAACUCUGCAUGCAUAAGGGAAGAGUUGUGAGAUGCAGAAGAAAAAUGAAGACUAGAAUUAACAUGAGUGUGGGAAAAUGUCUCAUCUUAGUUCACUGAUCUUGCAGAAAAAAAAAAAGAAAAUAAAUCCUCUGAAUUUCACCAUGCUUUCUGACUUUGGAAGCACUUAGUGCAUACUGCCUGUUCAGUCACAUGUCCAAGUGUCAUUAGGAGUAUCUGGUGUUUCUUUACACAGCUGUCGUGAUCACAGACCAAGCAACAGGUGUCCCUCCCUGGAAGAAAGGGUCAGAGCUCAUGGGAAAAGGGGAACAAGGAGAUUUUAUAAAGUGCGCUCAUGGAGCCCAGAUAACAGCUGAUGAACGGACGGCGUUGCAGGUACCCUUUUCUCUUUAUUGACCUGUGAAAGAGCUGGACACGUGGCUGAGAUGGAUGCCUAUGUUCCACAUCUCUUACAUGAUCAGAUGACACAAAACACGACUAAUUUUAUAUUGUAAUUUGAUUUGGAGAAAAUUUUUUAUAUUAUAAAUAUUUUGUGCUAAAUCCUAAUGGCAAAAAGAUCAAUUCCAGACACUUGUUAUGCUGUUAAAAAUAUGAAAGAAAUUUGUAUC